GAGUUUGAUCCUGGCUCAGGACGAACGCUGGCGGCGUGCCUAACACAUGCAAGUCGAACGGAGUUGAAAGGAGCUUGCUUUUUUCAACUCAGUGGCGGACGGGUGAGUAACACGUGAGCAACCUGGCUCUAAGAGGGGGACAACAGUUGGAAACGACUGCUAAUACCGCAUAAGCCCACGAUCCGGCAUCGGAUUGAGGGAAAAGGAUUUAUUCGCUUCAGGAUGGACUCGCGUCCAAUUAGCUAGUUGGUGAGGUAACGGCCCACCAAGGCGACGAUUGGUAGCCGGACUGAGAGGGUGAUCGGCCACAUUGGGACUGAGACACGGCCCAGACUCCUACGGGAGGCAGCAGUGGGGAAUAUUGCACAAUGGGGGAAACCCUGAUGCAGCAACGCCGCGUGAGUGAUGACGGCCUUCGGGUUGUAAAGCUCUGUCUUCAGGGACGAUAAUGACGGUACCUGAGGAGGAAGCCACGGCUAACUACGUGCCAGCCGCCGCGGUAAUUC
rnacentral:rRNA from 1 species